CCUACGGGGGGCUGCAGUGGGGAAUAUUGGACAAUGGGGGCAACCCUGAUCCAGCCAUGCCGCGUGUGUGAAGAAGGCCCUCGGGUUGUCAAGCACUUUCAGUGAGGAAGAACGCCUGGUGGUUAAUACCCAUCAGGAAAGACAUCACUCACAGAAGAAGCACCGGCUAACUCCGUGCCAGCAGCCGCGGUAAUACGGAGGGUGCGAGCGUUAAUCGGAAUUACUGGGCGUAAAGCGCGCGUAGGUGGCUUGACAAGCCGGUUGUGAAAGCCCCGGGCUCAACCUGGGAACGGCAUCCGGAACUGUCAAGCUAGAGUGCAGGAGAGGAAGGUAGAAUUCCCGGUGUAGCGGUGAAAUGCGUAGAGAUCGGGAGGAAUACCAGUGGCGAAGGCGGCCUUCUGGACUGACACUGACACUGAGGUGCGAAAGCGUGGGUAGCAAACAGGAUUAGAUACCCUGGUAGUC
rnacentral:rRNA from 1 species